rnacentral:rRNA from 1 species
ACACGACUACAUUAGAUACCCGUGUAGUCCUAGCCGUAAACGAUACUCGCUAGGUGUCGGCCACGGUGCGACCGUUGUCGGUGCCGUAGGGAAGCCGUGAAGCGAGCCACCUGGGAAGUACGGCCGCAAGGCUGAAACUUAAAGGAAUUGGCGGGGAGCACCACAACGGGUGGAGCUUGCGGUUUAAUUGGAUUCAACGCCGGAAAUCUUACCGGGACCGACAGCAACAUGAAGGCCAAGCUGAAGACUUUGCCGGAUUAGCUG